rnacentral:tRNA from 1 species
GGACUGUGGCUCAGUGGUAGUGCAUUUGCCUAGCAUGUAUGAGACACUGGGUUCAAUUCUCAGCACCA